GGUUCGAUGGUCUAGUUGGUCAUGAUUUCUGUCUAACACACAGAAGGUCCCCAGUUCGAACCUGGGUCGAACCA
rfam:Coprinopsis cinerea okayama7#130 chromosome 5 cont3.5, whole genome shotgun sequence.